UGUUCCUCCGUACUGUGUCCAGAAUCCUGGCCCUUCGCACUGUACUUCCAGCUUGCUGGAAUUGUCGAUCCAAGUUUUUUGCCCUGCUUACCUUGAUCUUGGCCACCCGUCAUUCUGCUGCUGUGACUGAAUUUCAAAUGGCAUUGUAAGUCUGCUAUAACUGUCUUGCACACUCUUUAAAUCCUCUCAAGAGAAUUGGACAAAACAGAAACAGCCAACUUAAAAACAAGAAAAGAGAUGCUAACCACCUGUGAAGAACAAGAAAGGAAACAAAUUCUGAGAGCAAAGUAUAGUUGUGUGAUCUGUUUCAAAGGUUUAUACAAUGUCCAGCACCACAGUGUAUAUAUCCAUUGGAAGGAUAAAUGGAACAACUUGACUAGUAUCUGUUACCUUUUGAAUGCUGAUUAAUGUUAAUAGACAGUAUAUAACAAACUCUGAAGCUCAAUUACUUGUGGCACCACAAAACGGAAGAGUGGCGAACAGUUUCCUUCUAUAACCUUUCAAUUCAGUAACUACCUCUGCCACAUCAGAACUGAUAUGUCAUCUUAUUUUAUAAUGAUGUAUGUCCUCUCAAAUUGUCUUUUCUAAUGAGUCCAUAAAGCAUGGUUUGUGCAUCAUACUUCCAUAUUCUGGUAGAAAAGCAGGAUGUAUCUUUUUUAUUUAAUUCAAGACACUUAAUCUUUACUAGGCUUUCAUGACAUUGCUUGAUGAUUUGGGCUUCUGUUUAGCAAGAAGUCAGACUUAUUUUCUUAAAGUCUCUGUUGGCUACAGAACAAAAGUUAUUUGAAAAUGAUAGAAGAAAACUGAGAUGUUGGGUGCGAGUGGCCACCCUGAAAAGCAUUGGAAGAUCUCUUCCAGUAGGCACACUAUUAAUAUUUCUCCCAGUUCAUAAGAAAGCCCAUUUUUGAUACCAAAAUAGUACCAUAGCUAUGAUGCCAUAUGGAAUUUAACUAAGUUUCUACCUAUCACCAAUUAGAAAUUGUCAAUAGAACUUGUUAUUUGCAUCUAAAUGUUGAUUUCAUGCACCUAUGUAACCAAUUAUUUAAAAUGUGUUUUACCAGGUGACUACCCAAUUUUAUGUGAAAUAGUUAUACACUUCUUAGAAGAUGUACUCCUUUGACUUAAGUGUGUGACUUUUAUACAGUUGGGAGACUAAUGCUUUAUGUACUUUUUGUUUUUACUAACAAGUUUGUCACUAGGCACCAAGGAAUAAUUGUGAAUCUGUAAUGCAGAUCACACAAGCACUAUAGGAUCAUAGCUUACUAUUAUUAAAAAUAAAUCAUAAUUUCCUACAAAGUACAAAGAUGUAACUGAAGGGAAGGCAUGUGUUUGUAUUCUCCACUCAUCCUCAAUUCUCCGCUCCCCCUCCAAAAAAUUCAAAAAUAGUUCAGGUGGAAAGAUUAACAUUUACUCCAGGUAACACCUACCUUAAUAUUUUAAAGCUCUGUAUCUCUCACACAUUGCUAAAAACAAGCAAACAAAAUUAAAUGUUCUGGAAACUGGCAGUUACUUCCCCAACUUCACAACUUUCAAACACCUACUCUACUUCAACGGUCACACCAAUCCAAGUGUGCCACACAUGCAAUUUUAACUUAGCACCUAUUGUGUCAGAACAGUUAGAGUAUAUUUUGGUAGUUGUGUAUAUUGAUGUACAUGGUAAUAGUGGUGUUUUAAUGGGUUUUUAUGCUUAGUAAAUUAAGAGGAUGUUCGAGGAUGAUGAUGUGGAUGUUUUAUUUAGAGGUGAAAUAUUUUGUGGUGAUGACUGUUUUUCAGGUAUUGGUUUAGUGUGAAUUGUUGAAAAAUUUAGAUGAUUUUUGCAUGUGUACAUUGUUAGAUGUACUUAGAGGGCAAAGUUGAGGUUGCCUGUUUGGUGCAAUUUUAUUGGUGUGAAAGUUAAUUUAGAGUAUGUGUUUGAAAGCCUUGAAGUUUGAAUUUUAAGCUGUACAGGGAUCCAGUACCCGCUUCAGUUCUUACUGUCAUUCCAAAUUCCAAAAUCUGGGAUGAAGAUGACCUGGCAGAAUAAAGAUAUCUCCAGGGACUUUCAAGAGUUUAGCAUUUCUGCAGCUUCAUGGAAUUCCUUAAACCUUAUUGAGCUUUACAAAGUGUAAUAAUUGUGGGAAACGUCUACUUCUGCCAGUUAAGUGUUGAAAAAUGACCUAUAUUAAAAGAUUUAUACUGACAGUUAAUUCUGUUCUGU